rnacentral:rRNA from 1 species
AUUGAACGCUGGCGGCAGGCUCAACACAUGCAAGUCGAGCGGGGUGAUGGUGCUUGCACUAUCACUUAGCGGCGGACGGGUGAGUAAUGCUUAGGAAUCUGCCUAUUAGUGGGGGACAACAUCUCGAAAGGGAUGCUAAUACCGCAUACAUCCUACGGGAGAAAGCAGGGGAUCACUUGUGACCUUGCGCUAAUAGAUGAGCCUAAGUCGGAUUAGCUAGUUGGUGGGGUAAAGGCCUACCAAGGCGACGAUCUGUAGCGGGUCUGAGAGGAUGAUCGGCCACACGGGGACUGGGACACGGCCCAGAGUCCUACGGGAGGCAGCAGUGGGGAAUAUUGGACAAUGGGGGGAACCCUGAUCCAGCCAUGCCGCGUGUGUGAAGAAGGCCUUAUGGUUGUAAAGCACUUUAAGCGAGGAGGAGGCUCUUUUGGUUAAUACCCAAGAUGAGUGGACGUUACUCGCAGAAUAAGCACCGGCUAACUCUGUGCCAGCAGCCGCCGUAA